rnacentral:rRNA from 1 species
UAAAUUAGAAAGACGAGAAGACCCUAUAGAGUUUUAUAAGUAAAAUUAAUUGAGAUUAUUUGUAAAGGUUAAAAUUAAGAUUAAUUUAUUUAUUUUGUUGGGGUGACAGAAAAAUAUGAAAAACUUUUUAUAUGUUUAAACAUUAAUAAGUGGUUAAAUGAUCCAAUAUUAUUGAUUAUAAGAAAAAAUUACCUUAGGGAUAACAGCGUAAUUUUUUUUUUUAGUUCACAUAAAAAAAAAA